rnacentral:rRNA from 1 species
GUACACUCCUGCGGGAGGCAGCAGUGAGGAAUAUUGGACAAUGGGUGGAAGCCUGAUCCAGCCAUCCCGCGUGCAGGAAGACGGCCCUAUGGGUUGUAAACUGCUUUUAUCUGGGGAUAAACCUACUUACGUGUAAGUAGCUGAAGGUACCAGAAGAAUAAGCACCGGCUAACUCCGUGCCAGCAGCCGCGGUAAUACGGAGGGUGCAAGCGUUAUCCGGAUUUAUUGGGUUGAAAGGGUCCGUAGGCGGACUGAUAAGUCAGUGGUGAAAUCCGACAGCUUAACUGUCGAACUGCCAUUGAUACUGUUAGUCUUGAGUAAGGUUGAAGUGGCUGGAAUAAGUAGUGUAGCGGUGAAAUGCAUAGAUAUUACUUAGAACACCAAUUGCGAAGGCAGGUCACUAAGUCUUAACUGACGCUGAUGGACGAAAGCGUGGGGAGCGAACAGGAUUAGAAACCCUGGUAGUCCC